rnacentral:lncRNA from 1 species
UGUGUGGGUGGUAUUGAAGUAGGGUUCAGUUUCUCGAAAGGUAACAUCCAUACUGACUAAGUAUUUUCUAGAGGGAGGGUGAUAACACCUAUAUCCCUUCUGUGUCGGAGAAUACCCAACAAACACACAUUUAAGGGCCUUGGGGUCCAAUUUCCCUGCCGUCCUAGUAUGGACAAAACAAACACACCCAAAUACUUUUGGUGGAACAACGUAUGAAUUCUUCCCUUGUAGAACUGCCAAAGGACUCAUAAAGUCAAGGGUCUUGAGAGGCAUUCUAUUUAUAAGGUAAGCAGAUACAAGGAUUGCAUCUCCCCAAUAUGCUUUGGGUAGAUUCAUGGUGAACAUAAGAGAUCGAGCUACCUCCAAUAGAUGCAUAUUUUUUCUCUCAGCAACGCCAUUUUGAGCACUAGUAUAAGGACAACUAGUCUGGUGUACUAUCCCAUUACUCUCCAAAUAGGCAGAAAAGCUACUCUCCAUGUAUUCUCUCCCAUUGUCAGUUCUCAAAAUUUUCACCUUAGUAUCAAAUUGAGUACAAACCAUCUUAUGAAAAGAUUGAAAACAAGAAAAAACAUCACUUUUAGCUUUAAUCAGAUAGACCCAAGUCAUUCGAGUGCAACAAUCAAUAAAGGAGACAAACCAUCGAUUACCAAAUAAGGAGACAGUUUGAGUAGGCCCCCAAACAUCAGAAUAAAUAGUUGCAAAAGGAAUUUGACUUUUAUUAUGACUCAAAGGAUAGGAUGUUCUAGUGUGUUUAGCAUACUCACAAGCAUCACAAAAUAAAGAGCCAAACUGGGCUUUAGCAAACAAAUCAGGAUAAAGUUUUUCUAAGACAAAAAAUGAUGGAUGUCCUAACCGCCGGUGCCACUGUAUUAUUUCCCGAUUGACAUCCUUAUUUUCUCCAAAACAAGCUUGAGAUAUCGAAGAACCCGGAGCACUCUCCAACAUGUAUAAGCCAUCAUGUAGCCUACCAUUGCCAAUCCUCUUCCCUGUGCGAAGAUCCUGAAUAACACAAUGAUCAGGAAAGAAUUCAAUUUUACAGUUAAGGGCAUUGGUGAUAGCACUGACAGAUAAAAGGUUGACAGGAAAGUGGGGAACAUGAAGGACAGAUGAUAAUUUAAUGUUGGAUGUGCAAAUAACAGAACCUGUUCCGGAUACGGGAGUAAAAGAGCCAUCAGCAAUUCUGACACCAUCUUUGGUUAGAGAAGGAGAAUAAUUGAGAAAGCCUUUAGAAGAGCCUGUCAUAUGUCUAUUCACACCAGAAUCGAUAAUCCAUGGAACAUUAUUAAAAGAGGAAGCAUUACCUGACUUUAAAAAGUUAGAUGUGGCACCAGAGGAUGAAGAGGUGUCAAUAUGAGACAAGAGGCGCUUGAGACUCUGAAGUUCAUUAGGGGAAAGAAACUCAGUCGUUGUUGUCUCCUUAAAGGGCUCCUCCACAGUUUCUGCUAAAUUAGCUUGAUUUCUAGAGGUACCUCGUUUUCCUCCACGACCUCUAGUGGGACGACCAUGUAACUUCCAACAAGUCUCUUUGGUAUGCCUCGGUUUCCCACAAUAGUCACAAUGUAAUUGAUCUUUCUCAGAAGUAGGAGGUUGUGGUAUGCUCAAACUAGUAGUCAACCCAGCCUUUUCAACUGGUGCAGUAUCGAGCAUAGCAUGUCGACGACUUUCCUCUUGUUGAACAUGGGCGUGGGCCUCUUGUAGAGAAGGAAAAGGAUUUCUUCCCAACACUUGGACUCGAAUUGGAUCAUAUUCAUUAUUCAACCCUGCAAGAAAAUCAUAGACCCGCUCCUUUUCAAUCAUUCUCCGAAAUUUGACUGUAUCUCCAGUGCAGUCUGCCUGGAAGUCUUGAUAGUAAUCAAGUUCUUGCCAUAAGCCACAUAACUCAGAAUAAAAUUGGGAGAUAGUCAUCUCUCCUUGCUUAGUACCAUUAAUCUUAUUCCGAAUAUCAUAAAUUUGGGCAUCAUUCCCAAUCUUGGAAUAAGUUAAGGACAAAGCUUUCCAUAUUUUUGCAGCAGUAUCAAUUAACAAAUAGGACUUAGAGAUAUUAGGUUGCAUAGAGUUCAGUAACCAUGUCAUAACAAGAAAAUUAUCUGAGUCCCAUUGAGGAAAAUCUGGAUCACUCUCAUCAUGUGCUUUUUAUUACCAGUGACAUAACCCUGCAGUCCUCUAGCCUUGAUAAACAACAAACAAGACCAUGACCAAGCAAGAUAGUUGGUUCCAUCAAGUUUUAUGGGACUAAUUUGGAAGGAAGGAUUAUCAGAGUUAGGAGUCGAGACCCUUUUACCUUCUGCCAUAGUAAAGAUUUAUGAACCGUGAAAGAAUAUGAGGUACCCAAGGUUGUACACACAAGAAAGCCCAAUUGAUUCACCAAAAAACCGGGUAACAGCACGGGAAGGCCGGAAAGAUGGUCGGAAUCGUCGCCGGAGUGAUCGGAGCGGCGAAGCAGUGACGGACGGUGGGUCACGCACCGGGAACCGCCGGGUCACGCGCCGGGAAUAGGUGGCGCGUGAGCUUCACACACAGGCUUUUCCGGCGUCGGAGCAAGGCGGCAGUCCGGCGGUUCUCCUGGUGCCGACGGUGAGAGAAUGAAAGCCUCCUGAAUGGGUUAGUACCAAAAAAGUAGAUCUAGGGUUUUGAAACCCUAAAGAAGAAAAAUUGAAUUUGGACCCAAAAAAAUCAGGAAAAAGGCUCUGAUACCAUGAAGAUUUUUGGGAAAAUUUUGAGUAUUCUUGUAUUUCACUCUUAAUCUGUACAAUUCGUCUACAUGACUAUUUAUACACAAAGAAUCAUAUCUAAACAGGAAGCAAAUAAUCAAAUAAUAAUUACAAAGAUAAUUAAGGAUCCUAAUCAAAUCAAAUCAAAUCCCUAGAAUCAACUAGGAUUAGCAAAUAAGUCAACAUUUUUCAACCUACUUUCUGUAAGUUAUUUGGGAUUUGUGGUAUUACAGUAGAUUGAGAACUUGUAUAUGAAUUAUAGGCUCUAAUUUUGUUUGUUAUUUGUUUUAUUUGACUUUGAAAACUCAUUUUGCAAAGGGAUUUGAAGGGAUUGAAUAACUGGGAAUGAAAUUGACACAAUUCUUGAUAAUUUCAGUUUUCAAUAAAUCGAAUCAAACUGAUUAAUAUUGAUUCGGUUUGAUUCGAUUAUUCUUGCAUAUCGAUUGGUUCAGUUUAGAUUUUUUAAGCGAUUCAGUUUUUCAAUUUCGGUUCGGUUUUGAAUGCUCUUCCCCGUCAUGAGUUAUUUCUUUAACACAAAUUGAACCAUAUAUCCUGAAAUGAAAAUGUAGUUUAAUGAGUGAAACUACAAGGUAAUUUUUGUACUUUUCCCUUUUAAUUAAUAAUUAUAAUUUGCUUGCUACGUUGACAUUUCUUAACAGUGUCUAGAAAUUGUCGUCGUUUGUUGACCAACAUAGAAGGUUUGUAACUAGGAGGAUUCAGAUCUUUGGAAUCCUAAUUAGGCUUGAUUAUAAAACUUGAUUAUAAGAAUUUUAUUUUUAUUAUAAAUAUUCCUAAUUUAGGUUGAUUCUUUAUGUAUAAAAACCUUGUAAAGAUCAAUUCAAUUAGAAUAGAAUUAAAAAUUCCUCUAAAAAAUCUUUAUGGCAUCAGAGUUUUGCUAAUAUUAUUUGGUAUAAGGUUUCCUAAGUUAGGAUUUUUAUAGGUCAAGCAUCUAGGCGACUCUAUAGAGGGAGUUAUCCGACACCGCCCAUACCAAGAGAAUAUCCAUUGGAUCUCCAGCCUUUUCCCGACGACACACCUCCGUUCCGGCCAUACGCGUGAUCUCAUGCGCCACCACAGUCUCAUAGUCAUUUUCACGUGCCAGCACGUAGGUCCUUCUCCAGUGCCCUUUUCUGAUGAUACUCCUUUCUAACGACCUCCCUUUCACGUCGCACCUCUGACCAACCCAAUCCCAUCCCUUUUCGCCUCUGCUACUCCAGUGAACAGUAGUUCUUUACCUGUUUUGAAAAAAAAGAAAGUUUAUUUUUCUUCUCCUUGAAAUGGCAAACAAGAAAGUGCUAAUGUGGAAAAUGUAAGGGCCUCUAACAAUGCUUUCGUUUCAUCUAUUGAUUUUGCUCCAUAAAUUAUUGAUUCUGGCUCAAAUAGACACAUGCAGACUCUUCUCAAGGUUUCCUUAAUUAUCUUCCAUGUCUACAAAAGAAUACUGUUAGAAUAACCGAUGGUUUCUUCACUCCUAUCUCUGAAACCGAUGCUAUUAUUUGUACUCCAAAUAUCAAGCUAUCCACUGUUCUUUGCAUUCCUUGUUUCCCUGUUAAUUUGUUAAUCUUUUAUUUGUUAAUGCUCUCACCAAAGCACUUAAUUGUAAAAUUGAAUUUUUUUUCCUGACUAUUGUAUUAUUCAGGACCUUCAAACUGGGCAAAAGUUUGGCAAUGAUAGACUACACGAUGACUUAUAUAUAUUGAAAGAAAAUUUGAGUUUGAAUUCACCUCGGACUCUUUUUAAAAGAAACCAGGAUGUCAACCAGGAAAUCAUACAGUGGGUCGACGAUUAGAACAUCCAUCCUUCUUUGUUUUAGAGAAAUUUUAUCUUGAUUUAUUUUCCAAGAAUCAAUGUGGUUCUUUAAUUUGUAAUGCCUCUUAUCCCUCCAGUAUUAAUAGGAGUACGAUUCCUUUUGUGACCAUCCAUUCUGACGUUUGAGGACCUACUCAAACACUCUCACUAUCUGCUCACUAUUUAGUAAUCAUUGAUUUGUGACUUUUAUUGAUCGUUGCACUCGCAUGACUUGGGUUUAUCCGAUAAGGGCAAAGAGUAAUGUGGUUUCUUGCUUUCAAUCUUUUCACAGGAUGAUUUGUACUCAAUUUGAUAUUAAGAUAAAAGUUUUGAAAACUGAUAAUUGUACAGAAUACUUGGAUUGUCGUUUUGCUUAUCUGGAGUCUACUAGGAUACUGCAUCAAACUAGUUGUCCUUACACUAGUGCCCAAAAUAGUAUUGCUGAAAGAAAAAAUACACAUAUUAGAAGUAGCCCGAUUUCUCUUUUUCACCAAUCUUCCAAAAACUUAUUGGGAGAGAUGCAGUCUUAGCCACAGCUUAUCUCAUUAAUAAAAUGUCUCUCAAAGUUCUUGCCUUUCAAAGCCCUUUAAAGGUGCUACAAGGGAAAAAUGCUUAUAUUGUUCUACUAAAGGUGUUUGGAUGCAAGAGUUUGUUCAUAGUAAAACAGGUGGAAAGCUUGAUACGAGAGCUCUUAAAUGUGUGUUUGUUGGAUUCUCUCUCACAUAGAAAGGUUACAAGUGUUACCACUCUCCAUCUAGAAAAUACUUUAUCAGUAUGGAUGUUAUAUUUAGAGAGAUUGAACCUUACUUCAGUACUACUCCAUCCGACAGCUCUUAAAUAUGCGUUUGUUAGAUACUCUUUUGCAUAGAAGGUUACAAAUGUUAUCACCCUCUAUCUAGAAAAUACUUUAUCAGUAGCCCUCCAUCUAGAAAAUACUGAUAAAGUAUGAAUAUUACAUUUAGAGAGACAGAACCUUGCUUCAUUACUACCUCAUCACCUCUUCAGGGGAGAACAGAACAAUGAGAGAGAAAAGAUGAUUCCUAGUUCUAUGACUCUAAAGCGUUUUAUUCUAGAGGAGACUACUAUACACAGGGGAAGACUAUUAGUCAGGAAAAGAUAAUUGGGUGUUUGGAUAAACUAGAUUUAAAGAGAUAUUCAAAAAGAGACAUAACGAAAGUAGAAAAAGCCAUUGUGCAGCCUACUCUUCUCCGUCUGAUGAGUCAUCCCUAAAUCUUGAGGCCAUUCCUAAAUCUUGAACCCAUUGAUGAUCUGAAUAAAUCAAUAGCUCAAAGAAAAGGAGUUAGGUCUUACACAAUGCACCCUAUUUUUUAAAACUCUCUUAUGAUUCUUUAUUUUCAUCUUAUAGAGCUUUUGUCUUAUCUAUUUUCUCUGUGUCUAUCCCACAGGAUUGGAAGGAAACUCUCAAAAAUUCUAAUUAGAAUGGAGGAAUAAUUGAAGAAAUGAAAGUCUUGGCUAAAAAUAAAACUAAGAGUUGAUGUCUCUUCUACCUGAAAAAAAAAAAAAAAAAAAAAAAAAAAAAAAAAAACCCAGUUAGCUGCAAAUGGGUGGUCACCAUGACAUUCAAAGCAGAUGGGUUAAUCGAAAGAUCCAAAUCUAGACUAGUUGCUAAAGACUACACUCAAACCUAUGGAGUGAAUUACUAGAAGAUAUUUGCCCCUGCUGCCAAAAUAAACUCAAUCAGAGUAUUGUUAUCUUGCACUGCCAAUCUUGACUAAGACCUACAAUAAUUUGAUGUGAAAAAUACAUUCAUCCACGGAGACUUAGAGGAGAAAGUGUAUAUGUAAAUCCCUCAUGGAUUUGCUUAUAAAAAAACACAAAGAUGUGCAGGCUAAAUAAAGCUUUGUAUGGAUUGAAGCAGUCACCCAGAGCAUGGUUUGAUUAGCGAUGUAAACGGGUAGGGUACCCGCGAAAAUUAAACUACCCGAACCCGAACCCGAUUUAUAUUAGUAAUAUCCGAACCCAUUCCGAACCCGAUUAAAAAUUAAUUUAAACUAUCCGAAUCUGUCACAAACCCGAUUAUUAUUAUCCGAAUAAAAUCCGAACCCAUUUAAUCUUAUAUAUUUUAAUUAAUAAUUUAUAUAAAAAAUAGUUUUCAUUAAUAAUUUUCAUUUAAAAAAUAUAAUAUUUCUAAAGAAUAUUUAAAUUUAAAUUUUUAAAUAAAAAUAUAUAAAAAAAAAUUUAUAAAUAUUAUUGUAAAAUAUAUUUUUUAUAUUAAAUUAAUUAUUGGGUAAACUAUAAUUUAGUCCCUCUGAUUUAGUGAAAUGUAACCUUUCGUCCCUCUAUUUUAAAAAAUCGUCAAUUUAGUCAAUGUGAUUUUUAAAAACUAUGCCAUUAGUCCCUCCCGUUAGAUUUUCAGUUAAAGUCGCCGUUAGUCUUAGUUAAAAAACUAAAAUACCCAUUAUUAAUAUCAUUCUCUUCUUCUUCUUUACACCCACAUCCCAAACUUAGAAAUGAGCACUAGCCUGAGCUUUAGGCGGAGGAAACUAAUCCCUCGAAAUGCCGCCACCUGCACAACCGAGCACUAGCCUGAAUGGUGACCACAGACCAUUACGCCCACCGCAGAGUUCAAACACCCACCACCACCAUCCUUACUACCCAACGUCGUCGUCUUCCAAGUCAGCCUCCUUGAAAGGCUGCUGCUGCUGCUGUUGUCUCUUCCUUCUCUUCUCCUUCCUUGCUCCCCUUGUUCUCGCUAUCUUUCUUAUCAUUAUUCUCACCGUCAAGCCUAAGAAACCUGAGUUCGAUCUCCAACAAGUCGGGGUCCAGUACAUGGGCAUCCCCGCUUCUAAUCUCAAUUCACUUGACCCGACCAUCGGCACAACCACCAUGACCACUGGCGCCACCACCGCUUCACUCUCUUUAACUAUCCACAUGCUAUUCACUGCCGUUAAUCCCAACAAGGUAGGGAUCAAGUACAGCGAGUCUAAAUUCACUGUCAUGUAUCAUGGGAUUCCUUUGGGGAAGGCUUCGGUUCCUGGGUUUUUGGGGAAGGCUUCGGUUCCUGGGUUUUAUCAGGAGGCUCAUAGCGAGCGGCAGGUGGAAGCCACCAUCUCCGUUGAUCGUUAUAGCUUGAUCCAGGCCAAUGCUGUUGAUUUAAUCAGGGAUGCUUCGCUGAAUGAUAGAGUGGAGCCUCGGGUUCUGGGUGAAGUUGGUGCUAAGAUCCGUGUUGUAGACUUCGACUCACCUGGAGUCCAGGUCAGCCAUUAGCCAUCCUUCUUCUCUUUUCUAUCUUUCAGCAUCAGCUUUUCUUUUUUACUUCUAAGAUUGGCUUUACCUUGCAUUAAAUAUCCAACAUUGCUCAUUUCUAAUUUUGGCUUAUAAUUCCUCUUCCCUAAGUUAAUUUUGGUUCUAGUUUCUGAAAAAUUGGAUGUGGGUUCUUUUCUAGGCAUGGAUUUUUGGUUGCUAACUAAAUUUUGGCUUCUGGGUUCUUCUCUACGAAUAAGACGUUUGACAUUGCUGCUCCUUCUUUUGCUUCCUCUGCUGAUAAUCGGUUCACGUUAAAUACUCUGCCUGAUUCAACCCAGUUCAAACACCACCGUAAGAUUAAAAAUAAAAAGUACCUGCAAGUUAAUAAGCGGAAUAUGCAAAACUCAGAUCUUCAACACCAUAGCAAAAAUAUGAUGCGUUAAAAAUCACAGAAUAAAAAGGCAAAAAGAAUUUUUUUUUUCUUUCUGGAGAGAGAAAGAAAGAAAAUGUACAAAGUCGUAGAAAGUAUUGAAGAAGAAACUGAUAUGGGUAUUUUAGUCUUUUAACUAAAAUUAACGGUGAUUUAACUGAAAAUCUAACGGGAGGGACUAAUGGCAUAGUUUUUAAAAAUCACAGUGACUAAAUUGAAGGUUUUUUAAAACAGAGGGACGAAAGGUUACAUUUCACUAAACCAGAGGGACUAAAUUAUAGUUUACCCUUAAUUAUUUAUAUAAACGGGUUCGGAUAGUGGGUACCCUGUACAUAAAACCCGAAUCCGAUCCGAACCCGCAACGGGUAUUAUUUUUAAAACCCGAACCCAUCCCAAACCCGAUUAUAACUACUCAAAUCCGUUCUAUUAGGGUUCGGUCGGAUCGGGUACCCGAAAAUACCCGAUCCGUUUACAUCCCUAGAUUUGAUCGAUUAAGCAAAGCUAUGACACCACAAGAAUAAAAUUAAUCUUCUUAUAGUCUAUAUUGAUGACAUAGUAACGAUAGGGAAUGACACUGAAGAGAUGACUCGGCUGAAGAAGCUUUUGGCUCAGGAGUUUGAAAUUAAAGAUUUAGGAAAACUUUAAUAUUUUCUAGAAAUCAAAGUUGCCAGAUCAAAGAAGAGAACAUUUAUUUCUCAAGAAAAUACAUUAUGGAUCUUUUAAAAAAAAUUGUAUGUUAGACUGCAAAUCAGUAGAAAUUCCCAUUGGGAGCAAUAACAAGCUACAAGCAGGGAGUGGUGAAUAAGUGAAUAUUGGCAGAUAUCAGGUUGAUAGGCAAACUGAUUUAUCUUUCGCAUACUCGACCAAACAUAGCAUAUGCAAUCAGCUUAGUCAGUCAGUUUAUACGUGAUUCUCGUGAGUCUCACAUGCAAGCUGUUUUUCACAUGAUCCUCAAGAAAAUACAUUCUGGAUUUUUUAAAAAAACUGGUAUGUUAGGCUGCAAACCAGCAGAAACUCCCAUUGAGAGCAAUAAAAAGCUACAAGCAGGGAGUAGUGAAUAAGUGAAUAUUGGCAGAUAUCAGGUUGGUAGGCAAACUGAUUUAUCUUUCGCAUACUCAACCAAACAUAGCAUAUGCAGUUUAAUUUAAUGAUGGUUAAACUCAUUCUCAUAUAAGGCCGAACUUAUAUUAGACACACCCUAAAAUUUAGGUUGUCACUCAAAACAUAAGAUCCCUUUGCUUAGAUUGGAGGUGAAAUUUACUCCUUUUAUUUCUUUUUAUUUUGAACUACGAACUCAGUUACUUUGAAAACCUUUUAUGUGGUUCCUUUUCGGUGUUCCUGCCUCAAAUUUGGAUUAAUUAUACCAACCGCCCCUCAAUUUUUAGAUGAUUGUUUCAUUUCAGACACUUAACUUUAAUUUGUGAAAAUAAAAUCUCAACUUCAGUUUGUUCUAGAAAAUCCCUCCAGCUCAACCUUAAUAGCAAGUUUCUAGGAUAAAAAAAAUAAAUAAAUAAAUUUACUCUGCUCCAAAAAAGAAAUCACCAUUUUACUACCUUUCCUUCUCUCUCUCUAGAUUCAUAAUUUCUUAUAGUCAAAUUAAUUAAUACUUAUCUACCAAAAAAGUUACUUUAUUUUUAGUAAAGUUAUUAUUUAUUAUAUUUAUUAAUGAAAUUAUUUACUAAAUUUUUUUCUAUUUUGUUAUUAAUUUUUUUAUAUUAAUUUAAAUUUUAUUAAACAUUAAUUGAGUUCAUAUGCAAGUAAUUUUAUUUUUCCCAUUAAUUUUACAACACUAUUUUCUAAAAUCUUAUUUCAACAGAAUAAUUUAGUUCAAGUGCCAAUUAAUUUACUUGCUCAUUAAUUUUUUUUAAAAAAAAUCAUAUAAUUUUCUUAAAAUAUAAUUGAAUUAAACAAUUAAAUUCAAGUCUCGAUUUAACUAGGACUAUAAUUACAAUUUCAGUUUGUUUUAUACAAAAUAAAAUUAACUUUUAAAUACUAAUGACAAUUAUGUAGUUAAACCAUAAUGGUACACCCUAGCCAUAAUCCAGAAUAUUUAUUAAUCACUAUGUCAUUCAACAUUUGAAACCCAAUGUCCUACAUAAUGAGCAUGCAUUUGACCUUAAGGUCAUCAACCCAAAUAUCUAAUUUUGAUGUCUUAUGAUUUGGUCUCUGAAGAAGAGAGAUUUUUUCAAUGGAAUAAACACAGCUAAAAAGGGAUAAAAUAAGAAAGCCAUACCAGAGCAUAGCAAUUAACAAAUCAUAAGAGGCAAACACAAACAUCAAAAGUAUUGCUGAAAAGCAGAUUAACAACUCUUAACAUAUUAAAUUACUAAUUUCAAUAUUAGGUAUUGAGUAAUACCAAUUCCAAUGCGGAUGUUACGAAGCGCAAGGAAGACACCAAGAGGUGAUCCAACAGCAAAGAAUGUGUCAACCUGAUACAAAAAUUUCAUUCAAAUUAAUGACACAUCCCAUAAAUGUUAAACCUAAACUCAAUAAUGCUUCAGAAUUUGUAACCUCUUCACUUUCUAAUUUUUAAAACAAAUAUAUUAGAAGUUGAAAUUAUAUCAAACAGGGACAACAAACUUUGGACAAAUAUAGUAUUACAAUUCACAAUGUGGAACUUCGGACAAAAUUAGUAUAUCACGAUGCAAAGGACAUCUCAGUGCAAAGGCUCAGCGCCUCGGCGCAUUCUGAGGGUUGGGGAAGACUGUUUAUUGUGCGCGAUAUUCCCCUUUUUUUUUUUGCAAAGAUGCACUUGCACAGCUCAAACCCAGAACCUUCUAGUCACAAAGGAACAAACUUAUCAUGUGCCAACGACUCCCUCCUAUUUUGCAACACAAACGUAAAAGAAAAUUUUAGAAGGAAAAAGAAAAUAAUUUGUCCUUACCUUGAAUUCAAGCUUUGUGUACUUAAUAUAAGGUGUAAAACUCUUUGGUUCGUCAUCGGUAACACAUGGAAGCUUCUCAGACAUUUGUUGCUUUACUGCGGUUGCAUCCACUGUAUUUUCUGUUUAGCACAUCAUAACCAAAACAUAUCAACACUUGAGAGCACCUUCAUAAAAUAAGAAGAUAGUAACUUAUGUAUGUUAAGAUUAGCUAUUACCUUGAUGCAACCCACCAUGUAUAUCUUUAAUACUGGAUUGUGAUUCCAAUUCCGCAAUCCUAGCCCUAAGAGAAUCAAUCUGAAACAUAAACCACAAAUUUAAUGCACAGCAAACUAGUCUACUAAAUUCUACAUAAAAAGAUUACAUAUCUAAAAUUGCAGACCUCUUCCCUCAACAAUUUAAUAGUUUUAUCCUUAUUGCUAGAACUAUUGCUAAUACAACUGUCAUCUUCUGCUACCAUUUUGGCAAAACCACUAAUGUGAUCAUCACUUUUCACUCCAGCAGCUUCAACUAAUUCAUCCAUUCCCUGAGAAAGCACGUCACUGGAAUCAUUACCCAAUUCAAGGUCACUUCUCUCACUCCUUUGCUUAGAGUCGACAGCAGUUGCAGGCAGUUCCUCGAAAUUAUCAACCAGUUGAUUCGGGAUAGCACAAAAAUCCAAGGCACGUCCAUCAGUACAUACUGAAGUUGACUGUUCACUUGUCAUUUCUCCAUGAGCAGGAUUGGCUUUUUCCAUUGCUCCAUUAAUGCUGGGAUUAUUACCCUCCAGAUUUGUUGAAGAGUCGCUUGCAGAGCAUUGGUUACUCGUGUCAAUAGCAGAUUGAUCACUCCUAGCAUGUGCAUGUUCCUUGAACAUCCAAUCCAUUGGAAAUGGUGAGGAUAGAUUCUCCUGAUGGCAGAGGAUGUCAUACGAGAGGACACUUCCCAAAGAAUGGCCAUAGAUAGAAACCUAUCCAAAUAUUAGCAAUAUUUUGAGACAAUUCAAUGCAGCAAAAAAGAAUCUCAUCAGUUGCAAAGGAUCACAGCAUCAGCUCAAUCAGCCACAUACCUUUCCAUCAUAACCAGGAUUGCGCUUAAGAAACUUCAGAUAUAACCGGUUUAAUUGGUUUGAUACCUGGAGCAGAGGUGAUUACUCGUCAAUUCAUUCUCUGAACAAGUUUCUAGUCCCAAUCUAAAAACUUGAAGCAAUUAUAUGGUCCAUGAAAUAAGAUUGUAAUUGAAUAAAUUAUCCAAAGAAAGAAAAGGAAUAAGUAUACACAGAUACCAUAUAAUCUAAAUCUUAUAACAUACACCUACGAAAGGUAUUUCAAAUGCAACGAUUUAUGUGGGCCAGAAAAGAAAAUUUGAAAUAUAACAUGCAAUGACAUUAUCACUUGUUGCUGAAUAUAUCUCCACCAGAAGUUGUUGUUGCAAGGAACUGCUAAACUUCAGUCAAGAACAAAGGCUUUCAUGCUGUUAACAAACUAAGGCACAAACUAAAUUUACCAAAAGUUUAAAAAAGUGCCUACAUAAUGAAUAAAGUCAAACAUUUAUCACAAGUACAUAUGAUAGCGCUAUCUCCAUUAAGCAACCGAAUCCACAGAAGCAUUUAGAAGAUUCAAAAGCAUUUACUGGAUAAUGAACCACAAGAUGAUACAAAAAAAAUUGGAGAUCAAGUACACACCGAAUUAAUAAUGUCUUGACAAUAGAUGGGGCUCAUGUAGUAUAAUACAUCAUGUACUGUUGCACUCAGCAUGACACGCAAACCACGUACACCGUCCAAAGUAAUCUUUUCAACUGCAGUUUCACCACUAAGCUUCAAACCCUUUCUCCACUGAAAAACAAACGCAGGAAGUUUAUAGCACAUGCUAACACAAAGAGAAAGAAACGAAAACAAAAUCAAAAAAAAAAAUAAGGAGAAGCAAAAAGGAAGAGAAAAAGGCAUGAAGAGUUCAUGUGCAAACAAAAACAGGGAAAAGAAAAUUUAAGCCAAAAAAAAAAAUCCAUCCUAACAUACCUCACAUUUUCUGAGUAAAUCUUGAAUUUUACUUUAUUUCGUACCUAAAAAUAAGCUGCACUUUUUAAUUUACCAUAUUACUGGUGGGAUCCCAUUUUUUCCAUAUAGUUUCCAAAAAAAAAAGGUAGCCUCUUAUUUUAGCGAAAAAUUUAAAAAUUUUUAGUUCUAAAUUUUAGCAUAGUAAGAAACAUGCCUAAUGCUGAUGGUCAAAAAAAUUGUAGUUUUCUCACAAGGGUUCCCCUAGGAAUCUACCCAAAUGAUAAUUUAAAAAUAAAUAUGCAAACUAAUAAGCAUUUUGGCAAAGCCCAGUCCCAGGUACAUGCAAAUCCUUAAAACAAAGGAAACUCCCAUAGUCCCACCGUCGUCUUGCAACACUAGAAGCAUGGAUUUAAAUCACGAUCAAGGCUGGGAAUGGAAACAGCCAUAAAAUAAUAGUAAUUGCCUAUUGCUAUGCAAAUUUUUUUGAAAAAAAUUACAAAGUUCAUGACAUGGACAGAUACUUUAAGAUACCAUUAAAAACUAAGAUACCCAACUAAAUUUAUAGAGACAUUAAAAUACAUAACUUAGAAGUAAAAAAUAACCAAGAUCCUGAAUGAGCAUAUGUACUAUGGCUCAUUGUAGUAGGAUCUUGAAUGGGUUGGGAGUAUGUGGAUAUAGAAAUAUACAUUAAUUGCUCUUCUUCAAUUCAAAUUAAACUUCACUACUUGAUGAGCUUAGCUCAAGAAAUGAAGAUUUGUGAAGAUGGAAAAUUUAGAGAAUCAGAUAGAGAAAUAUAGAAACCAGAAAUAAAAUAAGCACUACGCCUCUCUGCAACAUAUAUAAAAAGAAUCCCUAUUAUCUAUGUGGGUAACGGUCAAUCAUCAUUAAGCAAUUGUUGCUAACCAUGGUUAUUGAACCCAGACCAGACAGGCCGGCCAAACCAAUUUCACUGGGAAUUGAAGCACCAUGUGUUUUAUUUUAAUCACCAAUCCUGAUUUUCAGAAAAUCAAUGUAAAUCAGUGUGAACCAGCCGAGUAUGAACCAAGAACCAGGACAAGUUUGAAUGAAUCCAAUUUGAUUAAAGCUUGCAAAGUGAGCUGCUAGGAUUUGAACCCGACAUGAAGAGAACACAUCAAGAACCAAGUGAACUACAAAGUCACUAUGAGUAUUACUUUUGUUAACUUAAAUUAUAUUAUAUUUAAAUAAAAUAAUUAUUAAUUAUUAACUUACUCACAAAAUUUCACCUUCAUAAAUGGUUUAGGCCAUUUUGCUAGCAAGGAACCCAAUUUUGGUCCAAUUCCUGAAACAAAAUUCCACACUCUUGGGCCUGCAAGUCUCAAUAUGGUAUCAAAGCAAUGAGGUCAUAGAUGUGGGACUCAAAAGCAUGGUGGCUGAGCAUAAAGAGCUAGACCCAUGAAAUGGGACAAAGAUGGGUCAAAUUCAAGUGGAUCCAUGGGCUAAUCAAGGAGAGCUAGACCCUAAUGGUAGAGCCAAAAAGAGCUAGACCUAAAUAGACCACUUCAUGCAAUGACAAGUGACAACUAGGCCUGUGAGCCUAAAGCCUGAGCCUGAACACAAUUCCAAUUAAAGGAGUGUUGGUACGUGAAAAAUGGGACAAAGUCCCAUAUCGACCAAAAUUUUUUAAAAAAAUAAAGGUAAACAAAAUAAUAAAGGAAUACCCAGAAACACAUCUACAAAAGUUUUGUAUCAGAAUCCACAAAGAAACGAUCCAAUUGAUCAAGAUGCACAAUGAGGAUCCUAUCCAUAAAGUGAUGCAAACCAAACCAAAGUGGCUUAGACAAUUUUGGUGAUGGAGAGGCCAAUUCCUAAAGUAGAAUCAGACUAUUUGUUGAUCUGCACUUCUAUUCUCAAUAAGAAGCUUGAUAGUUUGUUAAAUAUUUAUACCCAUUUUUAUAAUGCUCCACUCUAAUAGAAUGUGAAAGAAAACUUUUCAGUCGUAUGUUAAGCUUACAAAAUAGAUAAAGCAAUUUGACUGCAAACUUUUCAAUGGUAUGUCAAGGUUCACAUAAUAGAUAAUUCCCCAUUCAGCUAAAUCAAACAAAUAAUAAACAUCUACACUAUGAGAUUACUAACUUUUUGGAAAUAAAGAAAGAAAAAAAACAAUUGUGGGGUAAUCUAACAACAGUGACUAUAAGUGCCUUUCCAUUCCAUAUUAGUUGACAAAGCCUAACUUCAUAAGAACUGGAUGAAAUAUGAUGCAAUUUUACCUUAAAUCAUCCAAGGAAGUCAACCAAAUAAAUAACUAAAGCAUGAAAGAAAAGCAUUUCACCCCACAUGACAGUCCUCAUUUUCUCAGUGAGAUGUCCAUUAUGGUUGUCUGCUUUCAAAGAGCCAAUACACAAGAUAUAAUAAAUUCAUGAACCCAUCGCUUCAUGUAUAGACCAUGCAAAACUAAUUAAACUUCACAAGUCGCAUUCUGUGAGAAAUCUUUUAUUUAGCUUGGCUAUGGACAUAUUAAAUCAUAGGGAAGUUCAAAACUCCAAACAAGGAAGAUUAGCACUUCAUUAGUUUGUUUACCUGGCAUGGUAUGAAAAGGACUCGUUGAGCACUACGCUGGUGUGAAGUGAGGUGUCUUUCAGCAAGACUUGCCGUGAUAUGGCGAAAAUUUCCAACAUCAUCAACCAAAUUAGAUUUCUCCAACCUUUGGCCAAUUCCAUGAACCAUAAAAACAACAUGACGAACAGGAACCUUGACCAAAAAACUUAGGAUUAAACCAUAUCCAAUCAACAAAUUAAUGAAAGAAAAACAAUAUUCAAAGAGGAACCCACAUCUGGGAGAAAUUAGGAAAAACUAUUAAUUUAACAAAAUCACACAGAGGGAAAAAUAAGCUCCAAAUGCAUGCUAUCUAUAACUAGUUUAAGUUGAUGUGCAUAAUAUUGAAAAGAGAAAUCAUGUUCUCCUUGUUUUUUUUUCCGCUUGAAAAUAAUUACAACCAAAAAGAUUAUCAAGCACAUCAUUUACAAUAAUACAACCAAACAAAAAGGAAGGUCAUUAUUUUCACACAUGAAAUAGUCUGUCUGCAACCUAUCUACAAGAAUCAAGCACUUUAGAAAGAAAGUGAAGUAAUAUCAAGUGUCUAAACAACAAUCCUCUAAUCAGUUAUCAGUAUGAUAAAUUAUUCAAACAAUAUAAAACCCAGAGACUGGAACCAAGAGAAAUCUAUUCAAAACAGAGAAAGUCAAAUGGCCCAAAAGCCUAUAAUCAUGCUUCUUUGCAUCAUAAAUCUCCUGGCUCAAAUGAGAAAUUGUUGGCUCAUACAGUAACAGUUUUGUUAUGGAAACAGUUGACUUACUUAAUGCAUAGCAUACUCCUGCUUAGGAUAGACCACAAUUGUAGAGAUUUAUGUUCCUAAAUAGACAGCAGAUUUAUAGGAAUAAUAAUAAAUACACACUAAUUCUUCUCGACGAAAUAUACAAGAACCAUUCAGGUCUACAAGUUUAAACAGAUGAUUGUACAAACAAGCAACCACAAGAUAGAAUCAAGGCAAUUCUUAGACUUGCUUAACAAAAUCUUAUCAAACAGCCAUUCUCCAAGUCCUUUCGUGUUGUAAGUUGUCACUGAUACAGAAUUAAGGUGAAAUUUAAAUAUUCAUUAUAUAAAAGUUAAAAUAAAGAGGAGGAAGAAGCAAAUUUUCACUUAAGAAAACGCCUAAGCAUAGGUCCUACAUAAAUAACACGGAGGUUGACACAAGUCAAUACAGCAAGCAGAAUCAAACAGUAUGCACCUGUGAACAGUAAUCAUCCAUUUCUUCUUCCUGCUGCUGUCGAAGCUCAUCCUAAAUAAAAGAAAAUGAAUAAAUAAGUACCAUAUUCUAUCAUUUGAUUGCAAGAAUAGCAAAUCUUACCAUUCUCUAUAGCAUAAUGAAGGUAACUAAAAAACCAUAACCAAUUUCGAAAUUUUGCCUAAAUGACAUGCAUAAGAGAAAAGGAUGAGCAAUGCGAUGACAUGGGAAGAGCAGGUGCAGCUGUAAGAACAAGUUUGCUGCCGUGCAUACACGUCAUUUUCACAAACAAUAAUCAAAGGUAACUUGUUUUCUGCUACAACAGGGCUAAAAACAGACCUGGGUUGGUUUUGCAGAGUGAGAUGCUGAAUAACCACGCCUUAACUUAAUCCCAUUUCUACUUAAGCUAAUGAUACUAGAAAAACCAGAAGUAUCAACAUUAAGCCAAGCCUCCCACGUAUCAUCUUCUCCUGUGAAAAGUGCAUGAAGUCCCUGCAUGGCACAGCCAAUCAUAUAUUCACACGCAUCAAAUAUUUGUUAACCACGUAAUAAUAAUAACAGCAACAACAACAAUAAUAUAAGGAAUGAAUUUCCACUUUUACAGAUUUACUCACUGGAGUAGACCCUUGCAAAUCAAUACGUGCAGCAAAAAGCCCUGUCGGUUGGAAUCUCCUCCUACGCCAAACCUGAAGCCAAAUUCAAAGUUGGAAAAAUAGAGAAAGAGAUCAACCACUUAAGGUUUUCUAGAAAGCUGAAAACUAAAAUAUGUAGGGUAUAGAGAAAUCAUCCUUUCUCCAGCAUAAUAAGGCAUUAUCAAACUCUAACAUACAAACUUUUUUGAGAAUUAAGAAAUUUUGGAGCAAUGAAAUGGUUUUCACCAACUGUGUCAAAUAAAAUUAUUUAAAGAGAGAGUUGGCAGCACUAAGCAAACCUGUCUGCGGUAAGCAAUCUCUAAUUGCUCUGCAACAUCUUCACGAAGAGGCAGCCAAUCAAGGCCCGCUUUACGAGCAAACCAAUGACCCCUUAACACACGUCGAUUUUCCCCAUUCCAAUAAACAGGAAAACAACGUCUCUUCACUAGAUCUACCUGGAAAGUUCUAGAAAAUAUUAACGUAGUGCUUUAACUUUUACAUCAAACAUCAAAUAACAUGCCAAAUUUAAGAACAUGAGUCAGAAAUAUAAAUGUGUAAGAUAAUAAUGCAAAUUUUCACUAAGACAAGUAUGCUAGAAAAGUUCAUUUUAUGCCAUUGUUUUUUUGCAUGCAAAGGUGAAGAAUUUUGGUAAAAUUUUGAAUAUUCUUGCAUUUCACUCUUAAUCUUUACAAUUGGUCUAUAUGACUAUUUAUACACAAAGAAUCAUAUCUAAACAGAAAGCAAAUAAUCAAAUAAUAAUUACAUAGAUAAUUAAGGAUCCUAAUCAGAUCAAAUCAUAUCCCUAGAAUCAGCUAGAAUCAACAAAUAAGUCAACACUCUCCCUCAAGUUGGUGCAAAGAUGUCGCACAUGCCCAACUUGCAAAUCAAAUUAUGGUAGAUCUUGUUGUUGAGCCCUUUAGUAAACACAUCCGCAAGUUGUCCAGUAAAAGUCACAUGAACUAGGCUCAAGACACCGUCUGUUAAUUUUUCUUUAAUGAAGGGCCGAUCAAUUUCAAUGUGCUUCGUCCGAUCAUGUUGAACUGGAUUUUGUGCUAUACUUAUAGCAGCUUUAUUGUCACAAUACAAGGUUAUCUUGUCUCUCUCGGGCAGUCUCAACUCUUCCAAUAACUUCUGCAGCCAUAAGAGUUCACACACACCUUGGGCCAUUGCUCUGUAUUUUGCUUCAGCACUUGACCGAGCAACAAAACUUUGUUUUUUGCUCCUCCAGGUGACAAGGUUCCCUCCCACAACUGCGCAGUAGCCAGAGAUGGAUUUCCAAUCUGCAUCUGUAAAAGCUUCAAUUCGGAGGUGACCAUGUUUGGAGUAAAGAAGCUCUUUCCCUGGCGCAGACUUUAGGUAUCUCAAGAUGCGACGUACAGCCUGCAUAUGAGUCUCACGACGAUCAUGCAUGAAUUGGCUUACUAAGCUGACAGCAUAGGCUAUAUCCGGCCGAGUGUGUGAGAGAUAAAUCAACCUUCCUACUAAUCUCUGAUAUCUUCCAAUAUCCACGGACUCACCAGUUCCUGCUUCCAACUUGUGAUUACUUUCAAUGGGAGAUUCUGCUCGUUUACACCCCUAUACUAAUUUCUUCCAAAAGAUUCAGAAUGUACUUUCUUUGGGAGAUGAAAAUUUCUUUUUCUGAUCUAGCCACCUCGAUACCUAGGAAAUAUUGCAGUUUUCUUAGAUCUUUGAUUUCAAAUUCCUGAGCCAACAACCUCUUUAGUUGAGCCAUUUCCUCUUUGUCAUCACCUGUCACCACUAUAUCAUCAACAUACACAAUAAGAAGGGUGAUCUUACCCUUAUGAUGUUUGAUAAACAGAGUGUGAUCAGCAUUACUUUGUUGGUAACCAAAUGACAUCAUGACUCUGCUAAACCUGUCAAACCAAGCUCCGGGAGAUUGUUUUAGCUCAUACAAAAUCUUUUUUAACCUGCACACAUUUCCUUGUAUCUUCUCAUCAGCAAACCCAGGAGGAAUUUCCAUGAACAUUUCUUCCUCUAAAUCUCCAUGGGGGAAAGCAUUCUUCACAUCAAACUGUUGCAAGUCCCAGUCCAAGUUGGCUGCGCAAGAUAACAGAACUCUAAUCGAGUUCAUUUUUGCAACUGGGACACAUAUCUCUUGGUAAUCCACUCCAUAGGUUUGUGUGAAUCCUUUAGCAACCAAUCUAGCCUUAAAUAGUUCAAUUGUACCAUCAACUUUGUGUUUUACUGUGAACACCCACUUACAGCCAACGAGUUUCUUCCUAGGUGGAAGAGUAACAAGCUCCCAAGUCUCAUUUUUAGCUAAUAUUUUCAUCUCUUCAAUAAUUGCUUCCUUCCAUUUAGGAUCUGCAAGAGCUUUACUCCAAUCCUGUUGAAUGAACAUAAAAGAAAUAGACAAGGCAAAGGCUCUAUAUGAAGGAGACAAGGAUUCAAAAGAAACAAAGUUAGAAAUAAGAUGUUUAGUACAAGAUCUGACCCCUUUUCUUUGAGCAAUAGGUUUAUCUAAGUCAUUGGAGCAUUCAAGAGUUGUGGGUAACUCACCAGAAGAAGAUUCUUGAUUGGGUAACUCACCAGAAGAAGAUUCUUGAUUGGGUAACUCACCAGAAGAAGAUUCUUGACUCUGAGUAGACUACAUAAUGGCUUCUUCUGCCUUGUCUCUCCUUGAAUACCUUCUCAAAUCUGGCUUGUCCAAACGACCAAUUCUUUCUCCCUGAUUGGACAUCUCCCCUUGUCUACUAGAACUCAAACUCUCUAGUUGAACCAUAUUAUACAGAAUCACAGAAUAAGGGAUCACCUUUUCUUGUUCAUUAUUCUCCCCCUGAAGAGGUGAGUGGGUGGCACUGAAGUAGGAUUCAGUUUCUCGGAAGGUAACAUCCAUACUGACUAAGGAUUUUCUAGAGGGAGGGUGAUAACACUUGUAUCCCUUCUGUGUCGGAGAAUACCCAACAAACACACAAAAGGGCCUUGGAGUCCAAUUUCCCUGCCCUCCUAGUAUGGACAAAACAAACACACCCAAAUACUUUUGAUGGAACAACAUAUGAAUUCUUCCCUUGUAGAACCGUCAAAGGACUCAUAAAGUCAAAGGUCCUAAGAGGCAUUCUAUUUAUAAGGUAAGCAGAUACAAAGAUUGCAUCUCGCCAAUAUGCUUUGGAUAGAUUCAUGGUGAACAUAAGAGAUCGAGC